rnacentral:rRNA from 1 species
UACGUAGGGGGCAAGCGUUGUCCGGAUUUAUUGGGCGUAAAGAGCGUGUAGGCGGCCAAGCAGGUCCGCUGUGAAAACUCGAGGCUCAACCUCGAGACGUCGGUGGAAACCGUUUGGCUAGAGUCCGGAAGAGGAGUGUGGAAUUCCCGGUGUAGCGGUGAAAUGCGCAGAUAUCGGGAAGAACACCCGUGGCGAAGGCGGCACUCUGGGACGGUACUGACGCUGAGACGCGAAAGCGUGGGGAGCGAACAGG